UAAACAUUGAUACAUUAUUACAUUUUCAAUCCGCCCGGGUACUACAAGCACUAGCUUAAAACCCAAAGGACUUGGCGGUGCUUAAGAUCCCCCUAGAGGAGCCUGUUCUAGAACCGAUAAUCCACGUUUAACCUCACCCUCUCUUGUUUCUCCCGCUUAUAUACCGCCGUCGUCAGCUUACCCUGUGAAGGUCUAAUAGUGAGCAAAAAUGGCACAGCCCAAAACGUCAGGUCGAGGUGUAGCACAUGAGAGGGGAAGAAAUGGGCUACAUUCUCUAAAAAUAGAAGCAUACGGACAAUAUAUUGAAACAUAUAUUUUAAGGAGGAUUUAGCAGUAAGUAGAAAUUAGAAUAUUCCACUGAAUCCGGCCCUAAAGCGCGC
rnacentral:rRNA from 2 species